CAGCAGUAGGGAUCUUCCGCAUGGACGAAAGUCUGACGGAGCAACGCCGCGUGAGUGAUGAAGGUUUUCGGAUCGUAAAACUCUGUUAUUAGGGAAGAACAAAUGCGUAAGUAACUGUGCGCAUCUUGACGGUACCUAAUCAGAAAGCCACGGCUAACUACGUGCCAGCAGCCGCGGUAAUACGUAGGUGGCAAGCGUUAUCCGGAAUUAUUGGGCGUAAAGCGCGCGUAGGCGGUUUCUUAAGUCUGAUGUGAAAGCCCACGGCUCAACCGUGGAGGGUCAUUGGAAACUGGGAAACUUGAGUACAGAAGAGGAAAGUGGAAUUCCAUGUGUAGCGGUGAAAUGCGCAGAGAUAUGGAGGAACACCAGUGGCGAAGGCGACUUUCUGGUCUGUAACUGACGCUGAUGUGCGAAAGCGUGGGGAUCAAACAGGAUUAGAUACCCUGGUAGUCCACGCCGUAAACGAUGAGUGCUAAGUGUUAGGGGGUUUCCGCCCCUUAGUGCUGCAGCUAACGCAUUAAGCACUCCGCCUGGGGAGUACGACCGCAAGGUUGAAACUCAAAGGAAUUGACGGGGCCCCC
rnacentral:rRNA from 1 species